CUGAUACUGUAUGUUGUCUGUUUGGCAUGAACUACUGUUUGCUUGUUUGUAUGUGAAUUGAUGAUGCUUAUUGAGGAAAAGGAAAAUGAAAGAUUGUGUAGACUGAUAAUUGUAUGAUGGGGUCAGCCUGACUAGAUAUCCUGGGAGAUGGUGGACGGACCGGGUCCGUAGGGAACCCUACCGGGAUUGUGGUCUCACAUGCCGGAC
rnacentral:lncRNA from 1 species